rnacentral:lncRNA from 10 species
UUGUGAGCACCACGGGCCCCAACCCCUUCACCACACUCACAGACCGUGAGCUGGAGGAGUACCGCAGGGAGGUGGAGAGGAAGCAGAAGGGCUCUGAAGAGAAUCUGGACGAGGCUAGAGAACAGAAAGAAAAGAGUCCUCCAGACCAGCCUGCGGUCCCCCACCCGCCUCCCAGCACUCCCAUCAAGCUGGAGGAAGGCAAAACAGAUUUGUAUGUGAGCUGUGACCAGACCUUGUGCCGGAGCCGACUACUGGAGAUGACAGUGAUGCUGCCACCUUUAAGCCAACUCUCCCCGAUCUGUCCCCUGAUGAACCUUCAGAAGCACUCGGCUUCCCAAUGUUAGAGAAGGAGGAGGAAGCCCAUAGACCCCCAAGCCCCACUGAGGCCCCUACUGAGGCCAGCCCC